GACGAACGCUGGCGGCGUGCUUAACACAUGCAAGUCGAACGGAAAGGUCCUGCUUUUGUGGGGUGCUCGAGUGGCGAACGGGUGAGUAACACGUGAGUAACCUGCCCUUGACUUUGGGAUAACUUCAGGAAACUGGGGCUAAUACCGGAUAGGAGCUCCUGCUGCAUGGUGGGGGUUGGAAAGUUUCGGCGGUUGGGGAUGGACUCGCGGCUUAUCAGCUUGUUGGUGGGGUAGUGGCUUACCAAGGCUUUGACGGGUAGCCGGCCUGAGAGGGUGACCGGCCACAUUGGGACUGAGAUACGGCCCAGACUCCUACGGGAGGCAGCAGUGGGGAAUAUUGCACAAUGGGCGGAAGCCUGAUGCAGCAGCGCCGCGUGCGGGAUGACGGCCUUCGGGUUGUAAACCGCUUUCGCCUGUGACGAAGCGUGAGUGACGGUAAUGGGUAAAGAAGCACCGGCUAACUACGUG
rnacentral:rRNA from 1 species